GGGAUGUGUGCUGGAAAGGGUUCACACAUAUAAUCCCAGCACUUUGGGAGGCUGAGGUAGGAAGAUCGCUGGAACCCAGGAGUUCAAGACCAUCCUGGGUAAGAUAACAGCACCUCAGAGAAGAUUUGGAAAAUAAAUGAGCUGAUGAGAGCAAUUUUCUGCUUCCUGGGCCACCACAGUCUUCUUUGCUGUUUUUGAUUGCAACCAUUUUCAGAGAAGAAUCAACACCAAAGGAGGCUGAGUCAGGAGGACCACUUGAGCCCAGGAAUCUGAGACUGCAGUGAGCUGUGAUCACACCGCUAAACUCCAACCUGAGCAACAGAGCAAGACCCUGUCUCAAAAAAAAAAGCCUCAAUACCUGAAACAGAGCUGGCAUGUGGCAUAUCCUCAGAAACAUUUGCUAAAUGACACCUAGUCUAUAGGAGGAGGACUCAUUCUUAACCAUUAGAUUUAGCCAUGCAGAAGUCAGAUCAAGAGUAAACAGAGCAAGAACAGUUUUGGUGCUGUGAUGGGUCAAAAGCCUGAGUCAGAUUACAUGUAUAUAAAUUACCUAGUAACGAGCAUGACCUCUGUCCAAGCAGAAGGCAAGCAGGGGAGAAGAUUUAGCUGCUCAACUACAGUUAUUCUCUCAACCCAAGCUAAGGUAGUUGGUGCCAUACAUUUCCCACAGGACUACUAUUUUCCAAUAUCAACAUCUUUAAUUUAUUUAUUUAUUUUUGUUUUAGUGCACUAGCUGGAAGUUUCGAUAUAAUGUUAAAUACAAAGGAUGAGAGUAAAUAUUCUUACAUUUUUCCUGGUCUUAUGAAGAAAGAAUUUUCUUUCACCAUUAAGUAUUAUGUUGUCUGUAGGUUUUUCACAUAUGUUCAUAGUGGGUUGAAGCACUCUCUUUUU